rnacentral:rRNA from 1 species
GAUGAACGCUGGCGGCGUGCCUAAUACAUGCAAGUCGAGCGAACAGACGAGGAGCUUGCUCCUCUGACGUUAGCGGCGGACGGGUGAGUAACACGUGGAUAACCUACCUAUAAGACUGGGAUAACUUCGGGAAACCGGAGCUAAUACCGGAUAAUAUAUUGAACCGCAUGGUUCAAUAGUGAAAGACGGUUUUGCUGUCACUUAUAGAUGGAUCCGCGCCGCAUUAGCUAGUUGGUAAGGUAACGGCUUACCAAGGCAACGAUGCGUAGCCGACCUGAGAGGGUGAUCGGCCACACUGGAACUGAGCCACGGUCCAGACGCCUACGGGAGGCAGCAGUAGGGAAUCUUCCGCAAUGGGCGAAAGCCUGACGGAGCAACGCCACGUGAGUGAUGAAGGUCUUCGGAUCGUAAAGCUCUGUUAUUAGGGAAGAACAAAUGUGUAAGUAACUAUGCACGUCUUGACGGUACCUAGUCAGAAAGCCACGGCUAACUACGUG